rnacentral:rRNA from 1 species
GAGGAAUAUUGGUCAAUGGACGAGAGUCUGAACCAGCCAAGUAGCGUGAAGGAUGACUGCCCUAUGGGUUGUAAACUUCUUUUAUACGGGAAUAAAGUGAGGCACGUGUGCCUUUUUGUAUGUACCGUAUGAAUAAGGAUCGGCUAACUCCGUGCCAGCAGCCGCGGUAAUACGGAGGAUCCGAGCGUUAUCCGGAUUUAUUGGGUUUAAAGGGAGCGUAGGCGGACGCUUAAGUCAGUUGUGAAAGUUUGCGGCUCAACCGUAAAAUUGCAGUUGAUACUGGGUGUCUUGAGUACAGUAGAGGCAGGCGGAAUUCGUGGUGUAGCGGUGAAAUGCUUAGAUAUCACGAAGAACUCCGAUUGCGAAGGCAGCUUGCUGGACUGUAACUGACGCUGAUGCUCGAAAGUGUGGGUAUCAAACGGGAUUAGAUACCCUGGUAGUCCACACAGUAAACGAUGAAUACUCGCUGUUUGCGAUAUACAGUAAGCGGCCAAGCGAAAGCGUUAAGUAUUCCACCUGGGGAGUACGCCGGCAACGGUGAAACUCAAAGGAAUUGACGGGGGCCCGCACAAGCGGAGGAACAUGUGGUUUAAUUCGAUGAUACGCGAGGAACCUUACCCGGGCUUGAAUUGCAACUGAAUGAUGUGGAGACAUGUCAGCCGCAAGGCAGUUGUGAAGGUGCUGCAUGGUUGUCGUCAGCUCGUGCCGUGAGGUGUCGGCUUAAGUGCCAUAACGAGCGCAACCCUUAUCGAUAGUUACCAUCAGGUUAUGCUGGGGACUCUGUCGAGACUGCCGUCGUAAGAUGUGAGGAAGGUGGGGAUGACGUCAAAUCAGCACGGCCCUUACGUCCGGGGCUACACACGUGUUACAAUGGGGGGUACAGAAGGCAGCUACACGGCGACGUGAUGCUAAUCCCGAAAGCCUCUCUCAGUUCGGAUUGGAGUCUGCAACCCGACUCCAUGAAGCUGGAUUCGCUAGUAAUCGCGCAUCAGCCACGGCGCGGUGAAUACGUUCCCG